rnacentral:rRNA from 1 species
AUUGAACGCUGGCGGCAGGCCUAACACAUGCAAGUCGAACGAGAGGCGGACGGGUUAGUAAUGUCUGGGAAACUGCCUGCUGGAGGGGGAUAACUACUGGAAACGGUAGCUAAUACCGCAUACCAUCCGAUUUGCCCCACUGGGAUUAGCUUUUUGGUGGGGUAACGGCUCACCAAGGCGAGGAUCCCUAGCUGGUCUGAUAGGAUGACCAUCCACACUGUAACUGAGACACGGUCCAGACUCCUACGGUAGUAAGCAGUGGGGAAUAUUGCACAAUGGGCGCAAGCCUGAUGCAGCCAUGCCGCGUGUAUGAAGAAGGCCUUCGGGUUGUAAAGUACUUUAAGUGGGGAGGCGUUACCCGCAGAAGAAGCACCGGCUAACUCCGUGCCAGCAGCCGCGGUAAUAC